GCGAGGAGGCCGCCGGAACGCGCGGAGAGGCCAGCCGGGCCCCCGCCGCCAUGGAGAACGCGCACACAAAGACGGUGGAGGAGGUGCUGGGCAACUUCGGCGUCAACGAGAGCACGGGGCUGAGCCUGGAGCAGGUCAAGAAGCUCAAGGAGAGAUGGGGCUCCAACGAGUUACCAGCUGAAGAAGGAAAGACCUUGCUGGAACUUGUGAUUGAGCAGUUUGAAGAUUUACUAGUUAGAAUUUUAUUGCUGGCAGCAUGUAUAUCUUUUGUUUUGGCUUGGUUUGAAGAAGGCGAAGAAACAAUUACAGCCUUUGUAGAACCCUUUGUAAUUUUACUUAUAUUAGUAGCCAAUGCGAUUGUGGGAGUGUGGCAGGAAAGAAAUGCUGAAAAUGCAAUCGAAGCUCUUAAGGAGUAUGAACCUGAAAUGGGCAAAGUGUAUCGACAAGACAGAAAGAGUGUACAGCGGAUUAAAGCCAAAGACAUUGUUCCUGGUGAUAUUGUAGAAAUUGCUGUUGGUGACAAAGUUCCAGCUGACAUAAGACUGACUUCCAUCAAGUCAACAACCCUCCGAGUGGACCAGUCGAUUCUCACAGGUGAGUCUGUCUCGGUCAUCAAGCACACUGACCCUGUCCCUGACCCACGAGCUGUCAACCAAGAUAAGAAAAACAUGCUCUUCUCUGGCACAAACAUUGCUGCUGGAAAAGCCAUGGGAGUGGUGGUGGCAACUGGGGUAAACACAGAGAUUGGGAAGAUCCGGGAUGAGAUGGUGGCGACGGAGCAGGAGAGGACACCCCUCCAGCAGAAACUAGAUGAGUUUGGAGAACAGCUAUCCAAAGUCAUCUCCCUAAUUUGCAUUGCCGUCUGGAUCAUAAACAUUGGACACUUCAAUGACCCAGUCCACGGAGGCUCAUGGAUCAGAGGUGCUAUCUACUACUUUAAGAUCGCAGUGGCCCUGGCUGUCGCAGCCAUUCCUGAAGGCCUGCCAGCUGUCAUCACCACCUGUCUCGCCCUGGGAACUCGCAGAAUGGCAAAGAAAAACGCUAUUGUUCGAAGCCUGCCGUCCGUGGAAACUCUUGGCUGUACAUCUGUUAUCUGCUCAGACAAGACUGGUACACUUACGACAAAUCAGAUGUCAGUUUGCAGGAUGUUCAUUCUGGACAAAGUUGAAGGUGAUACUUGUUCCCUGAAUGAGUUUACCAUAACUGGAUCCACAUACGCACCUAUAGGAGACGUGCAUAAGGAUGAUAAACCUGUGAAGUGCCACCAGUAUGAUGGUCUAGUAGAAUUAGCAACAAUUUGUGCUCUGUGUAAUGACUCUGCUCUGGAUUACAAUGAGGCAAAGGGGGUAUAUGAAAAGGUGGGAGAAGCAACAGAGACCGCGCUCACGUGUCUGGUAGAGAAGAUGAAUGUAUUCGAUACGGAAUUGAAGGGUCUUUCUAAAAUUGAACGUGCAAACGCCUGCAACUCGGUCAUUAAACAGUUGAUGAAAAAAGAAUUUACCCUAGAGUUUUCACGUGAUAGAAAGUCGAUGUCGGUCUACUGCACUCCGAACAAACCGAGCCGAAUUUCAAUGAGCAAGAUGUUUGUGAAGGGUGCUCCCGAGGGUGUGAUUGACAGGUGCACCCACAUCCGAGUUGGAAGCACAAAGGUUCCCAUGUCCCCUGGGGUCAAACAGAAGAUCAUGUCUGUCAUCCGGGAGUGGGGCAGUGGCAGUGACACCCUUCGGUGCCUGGCUCUGGCCACUCAUGACAACCCCCUGAAGAGGGAGGACAUGAACCUGGAGGAUUCAGCCAAUUUCAUCAAGUAUGAGACUAACCUGACCUUCGUUGGCUGUGUGGGCAUGCUGGACCCCCCCAGGAUCGAAGUCGCCUCGUCAGUGAAGCUGUGCAGACAGGCAGGCAUCAGAGUCAUCAUGAUCACCGGAGACAACAAAGGCACUGCUGUGGCCAUCUGUCGCCGGAUCGGCAUCUUUGGGCAGGACGAGGAUGUGACGGCGAAGGCCUUCACGGGCCGGGAGUUUGAUGAGCUCAGCCCCCCAGCCCAGAGGGACGCCUGCCUAACUGCCCGCUGCUUUGCACGGGUGGAACCUUCACACAAGUCCAAGAUCGUGGAGUUUCUGCAGUCGUUCGAUGAGAUCACAGCCAUGACGGGAGAUGGUGUGAAUGAUGCGCCGGCGCUGAAGAAGUCAGAGAUCGGCAUCGCCAUGGGCUCUGGUACCGCUGUGGCCAAGACUGCCUCUGAAAUGGUUCUGGCCGAUGACAACUUCUCCACCAUCGUGGCCGCUGUCGAGGAGGGCCGGGCCAUCUACAACAACAUGAAGCAGUUCAUCCGCUACCUCAUCUCCUCCAAUGUCGGGGAGGUCGUCUGCAUUUUCCUGACCGCGGCCCUGGGUUUUCCUGAGGCAUUAAUUCCUGUCCAGCUGCUCUGGGUCAACCUUGUGACAGAUGGCCUCCCUGCCACUGCCUUGGGCUUCAACCCCCCUGACCUGGACAUCAUGAAUAAACCGCCCCGGAACCCCAAGGAGCCGCUAAUCAGCGGGUGGCUCUUUUUCCGUUAUCUGGCGAUUGGUUGUUAUGUGGGUGCUGCCACUGUGGGUGCUGCUGCAUGGUGGUUCAUUGCUGCUGACGGCGGACCGAGGGUGUCCUUCUAUCAGCUGAGUCACUUCCUACAGUGUAAAGAGGACAACCCUGACUUCGAAGGCGUGGAUUGCACAAUCUUUGAGUCCCCGUACCCAAUGACAAUGGCACUUUCUGUCCUUGUGACCAUAGAGAUGUGUAACGCCCUCAACAGCUUGUCUGAGAACCAGUCCCUGCUGAGAAUGCCCCCUUGGGAGAACGUCUGGCUAGUUGGCUCCAUCUGCCUGUCCAUGUCCCUCCACUUCCUCAUCCUCUAUGUGGAGCCCCUGCCUCUCAUCUUCCAGAUCACCCCGCUGAACUUGACCCAGUGGCUGAUGGUGCUGAAGAUCUCCCUACCUGUCAUCCUCCUGGAUGAGACACUCAAGUUCGUGGCCCGAAACUACCUGGAGCCCGGUAAAGAGUGUGUGCAGCCUGCUCGGCCCUGCUCGCUCUCGGCCUGCGCCGACGGCGUCUCCUGGCCCUUCGUGCUGCUCGUAGUGCCCCUGGUGGUCUGGGUCUAUAGCACAGACACUAACUUCACUGAUAUGUUCUGGUCUUGACUGACAGCUCGUCCUAAAGAAGAUGUUUAACUUAAUCAAUUAAUUUUUUUAUUGUUUCAAGCAACUGUCUAUUUCUGCUGAAUUUUCACAUGAACAUAUUUGGAUGGUGAAGGAGGUUUCAUACUCUAGAUUUUGUUUUGCUUUUUCUGACUCCAGUGGGGCAAGAUUUUCCUUUUUUAUACACAUGAUUAAAGUGUCCAUUGACAUGUACAGAGAACUAACACUAUUUUAUGCAAAUAUUUUUUUGUAGAUGAAAAAGCAUGUACAGUGUUCUGUUUAAUACUCAUCCUUGUAUAAAAAACAAACAAAAUCGUUGAGCCAGCAGAUAUUGUCAGCAAUUAAUUGGCGGCAGAUUUUAGACAGGAAUGUGUGUGGUUUUUUCAUAAAACUAAAUAGCAUGUGUUGUGUCUUCUGCAUGAUCAUUCUGGAUUUAAUUUGGGAUCACAGUCUAAUUUUGUUCCGAAGCCAAUUUUUCUGCACUGAGCAGAGUACUGCUACCUCAGUCAGUCCGUAUUUCUGAUUUGCCACUUCCUCACCCAGCCCUGCCUCACCUCCACCCCCACCCACCCUGCUCCGCUUCUCCCCCCUCGGGUUUCCAUGGUUUUGUUUACAUCCAUCUAACAAGAGGUAUGCCUGUUCUCGCUUGUGCAGAAAACAUUGUUCCCGAUUCAAUCUACUGGGUUCACACCCCCUCACCAGGUUUUUAUGGUUAUUUAUUUAAAUGUCUAAUGUAUUUUAUUGUAACUAGACAUUUUUUUGGCCAACAUUGCCUAUUUUAGUGGCACGUCACAAUCUAGUUUAAAAAGAAAAAUAAAACAUUUUAAAUGGACAGAGAAAACAAUCGCUGUCUUGUUUUUAACUCUUAAACGGCUGAGCUUCAGCUAAUAGAUAAGUUCCAUUUGCUUUUCAGUUCUUAGCUCAGAGCCAUAGCAGCCCCCUAAUGCCCUGCUCAGAGCUAGCAGUAGGCAUUGUAUGUGUCCCGGCACAGACACGAGUUGUCACCUGUGGUACCGUUUUGUGCAAGUCCCUGCUGGCCUCUCCGCCUACUGUAGAGAACAUGAGGGCUGUGUGUGUGCGUGUGUAAGUGUGUGUGUGUGUUUUGUAAAAUCUGUAAAUAGCACAUGACCAAAUGAACAUAUUGUAUAGAAGUAUUUUUAUUUUACUGUGGCACUAACCACACUGUUACUAUGAUGAUGAUGUUUGCGCAUGUUCCAAGGUCAGUCUUACGUCAUUAACAGCCCUAACCGUGGUGUUUUCCUCCAAUGCCUUCCAACAUCAUCAACUAAACAAUACUGGAGUAACCGCUUCCUAAACCAUUUUGCAGAAAUGUAAGGGUGUUCAGUUGCGUGCAUGUGCGUGUUUAGCAACACAUCUGCCGAUCUCUGCAUGGUUGACUGGGGGGAGGGGCAUGGGGGGGUCGUAGGCCCACCUCCCAGACUUGUGUGUGAUGUGGAGAAAAUGUGUAAAUACCACAAACGGGGUUUGUAGCUUUUCAAUCAAAAUAACAAUUGCAAAUGUACAAUUAGCGUCAGUGAACCAGAAAUCCUCUCCAGAGAAAUGUGGUGUCUUUGCUGCAAGGAGAAAGUCUGUCACACCUCCAUCCUUCUCUGAGCAAAUGCCCUGGCCUGUCUCGGGAUCCAGUAGCCAGCGCUCCGCCGCCGUCAUGCAUGCCUUCAACCUUUCUCAUCGGUGUCAUGGAAACCUGCCACUUUUCAAUGGGCCUAUAGAGCUUGCUUAUUUAUAUCGUCAUUGGAAACACUACAGGUGUUGAAUGGUUCAAACAUAGGCCUCUCAUUCAUGACUUCAGCUGUUUUGGGGGGUUUUUUUUGCGUGCAAAUGGCUCAUUUGCACUGUAUUAAAUGUAACUUAUUUAAUGAUAUCAGAAGCAGUAAACAGAUGUUGGUGCAAUACAAAUAUUGUGAUGCCGUUUCCUUAAUAAAAAUGCUAAGCGUCCAAUCACCACAGAGCAUGUUUAACUUUAGACUGUAAAUAGAGAUCAGCUGUUUAAUUCUGUGCUGUAACAAGCAUUGCACAGACAUGGUUUCCGGUAAAUAAAUCUAUUCUACGAUAAA